AUGACAUUUUGGGUUCCGGCAGACGUUACCUCGCCUUGGGUGGACGUGCAAUCCAUCAAUCGGCUUCCACUUAGUUUAUCAACUUUGAAACUUCACUCUAUCCCGCAAUUGCCAGAUAAUUUUAACUUCCAAAGCUUGUCGAUUCUCUCUAUCAGCAAAUGUCUGACAGCACACUUGCCCCAUCUAUUGCACUUGAAAAGGCUACAAGAGUUACGGCUCAAUGACUUCCCCGAACUGGUGGAGAUUCCAGGUUUGGGGGAAUUGGAAUUACUGAUGUCUCUGCACAUUGCCAUGUGUGAUGUGAUCAAACAAUUGCCUAACCUGUCGAAGUUAAAAAAUCUUCUGCGUCUGGAGGUAAAACAUUGUGCAAAGUUGAGAGCUGUCGAAGACUUGACAGAGUUGAAAAUUCUGAAGAAUGUGGAGAUCAGAUAUUGCAUGUCCUUGGAAAAGUUGCCCGAUGUGUUGGCAUCCACCAAGUUGGAGACAGAUUGGACGCCACCAAAACCUGCAGAGCACACCAUUCAGCCAGCAAAGCGACUGCGACUUUCGUUGGACUAGUAUGAAAUCCCUGCAGAGCUAGCUUGGGAUAAAGGCCAAGGAAGAGUUGGCAGCGAGUAUUCAGAGUUUUGAAGCCCUACCCGUGGAAUAAAAGCCAAAUUUGCAACACCCGUUCACCACCGUCAUGAACUAAUCCAGGCAGAAGUAUUGGGUCUCGAUCCUGGAGAAAUCGAUGUUCCAUUUGUUGGGGGUCCUGUAAAAGUGACAACUUUACUCUUUACCUCUUUUAUCUCAGAGAAAUUAUGACAUGACUUAUUAGCCUUUACCUCCCUGCUUCCUUACAUUAUGUCGGGAAGCCAACAGAAUUGUGUAUGUCUGUGCUUUGACAACUUUCAGGCUAAAGCUGAAGCUAGCUCUGCAACUCUCUCUAUGGCAGGCUUAUGCUGUUGUGAAGUUUGCCAAUGCAUGCCUGCGUGGGUUGAGGGGCAAUGCUGGCAUUGUCGAAGUGUGCAUUUGUUGCUUCUCAGGGGAAAGAGCUUCCAUUCUUUGCAUCCAAAAUUGCCUCGGUCACACUGGGGCUGAUGAGGUUCUUUCCUUGGCCUGCUGAAGGGGUGCAAAAGAGAUGGUUGGGAAAGGCAAAGAAAGAGUUAACAGCGACCAUUCAGAAGGGCAUUUCAUUUAACAAGAAUUAAGCUGGUUAAGGACGUGGCUUGUCCAAGGAAAAAGGUGUCCCCUGCAUAGUUUCCCGCUAUUUUCUACUCAAAAUAGGUACUUGGGAAUAAGUGGUUCAAACCAAACAAGAAAUCCAAGUUUAUUUUGCCUACGUGGCAUAGAACACAUAAAGGUUUUUCUUUUCUCACAUGCAAUGUACUCAAGCGUUGGUCUGUGUAAUAAGAUGGACUGAUGUUGGUGUA